CCUAGAGUUGUCGGCUUUGCCUGCCUAUCUCUUACCCAUGUCUUUUGAGCACCUUCGUUUCCUCGGCGGGUCCGCCCGCCGAUCAGGACACUUUAAACCACUUGCAGUUGCAAUCAGCGUGUGAAAAACUUAAUAGUUA
rnacentral:misc_RNA from 1 species